rnacentral:lncRNA from 1 species
GAGCUUAAAACAGUUGGCGGAGAAUUUACUUGGACAAACAACAUGUACAUAGCAGAAUAGAUAGAGCUUUAGUAAAUGCUAGAUGGAUGAUUGACAUGACACAUUUGAGGUGGUACUUCAUGAUCCUUUCUUCUCUGAUCAUACUCCAAUAUGCUUGUACUUUGAAAAAGACCAACAACCACCUUCAAAACCUUUCAAAUUCUUCAAUAGCCUAGCACAUCAUAAGGAUUUCCAAGCCUAGUCAAGGAAACAUGGGAAUUUAACAUGCAGAUAUCUGUUAUGCAAAGAAUUUAGAAGAAGCUGAAGUUGUGAAACAAGUAUUGAAGAAGUUAAAUGUUGAAGAGUACAGUAGAAUACCUGAAAAGUUUCAAGCUGCUAGAGACAAACUGCAAAAAUUACAAAUGGAAAUGAGAACACCAUAACUCAGAGGAAUUAAAAGAGCACUGAAAAAGAUUCAGAAGCCAAACUGGAGAAAUGAGUAAUGGUGGAGGAAAGUAUCCGCAAGAGAAGUCAAGAAUUUAGUAGUUAAAGCUAGGUAAUUCAAACUCAGCUUUCUUCCAUGCAAGUAUCAAGAAUAGAAAUACUCAAAAGAAGAUCAAUAGACUUCUCACCCAGACAGGAACAUAUACUCAAACUUAGGAAGAGGUGCAAAAAAGAUAACUCAGUUCUAUAAGUAGCUUCCAGGAUCAUAAGUAAAGGUAAUUCCAGCUAUAGAACCUGAGGUAUUGAAGAGGGAAAAUGUGAUGAUAAGAAGCCAACAGUUGAAGCUAAUAGCACAUGUUUCAAAAGAACAUGUCUUCUAGGCUUUGCAAAGUAUAGAUGUCUCUAAAG